GCAAAACGGGCAAUGGAGAGGGUGCUUGAACGAGAGGAAGGCAGGCAGCCUUCAACACUGAUAGGAGCCGAGAGUCACUGAUUCUGCAGAUCACACACAGGUUGGAUGCUGAACUGUCAUCUCCCAAGAAAGAAGCGCCACUCCUACUCACUGCUUGGCUUCUACAAACUGGCUGGCAGAAGCGGGCUCAACCCACUGUAAGAAUACAAACAAGCCAACCUUUGUCAACAGGGUCCUCCCAAGUCUCUGCCCUGUAUUCUGACUCAAAACCAGCUCAUCCAGCUCAAAAGGAAGUACCUCCUCUUCAUGAGGGGCUACAGAGGGACAACAGUGGCCAGCAGCUGGCAGAAAGAGCUUGCAAGAGCAAGACUAAACCAGAAAAAGCUCUGCUCCUUACUCAAAUGAAUGACAGGAAUCAAAGCAAAGCUCCUCCAUGCCCACAUUUUCCUUCUAAUAUAAUUUUACCUUAGCUCACAGUUCCAUAAUCUGGAGUCCUUGAAAUCUCUGAAAUUGUACGCAAAAUUUUGUGUCUAUGUGCAUUUCUCUAGGGAAAUGAUCCACAGGUUUCUGCUUCUCAAAUCUACUGUGACCUUUGAGAUUUGGAACCACGGGCUUGAGAUGCUGCCUGUGUGAGCCCCCAGUGAAGACGGGGGGACCAAAGUUACUAUUCCUUGAGUGGG
rnacentral:lncRNA from 1 species